rnacentral:rRNA from 1 species
UCUUCGGAUCUUUGAGAGCGGCGCACGGGUGCGGAACACGUGUGCAACCUACCUUUAUCAGGGGGAUAGCCUUUCGAAAGGAAGAUUAAUACCCCAUAAUAUAUUUGAUGGCAUCAUUAGAUAUUGAAAACUCCGGUGGAUAGAGAUGGGCACGCGCAGGAUUAGAUAGUUGGUAGGGUAACGGCCUACCAAGUCAACGAUCCUUAGGGGGCCUGAGAGGGUGAUCCCCCACACUGGUACUGAGACACGGACCAGACUCCUACGGGAGGCAGCAGUGAGGAAUAUUGGACAAUGGGUGAGAGCCUGAUCCAGCCAUCCCGCGUGAAGGACGACGGCCCUAUGGGUUGUAAACUUCUUUUGUAUAGGGAUAAACCUACUCUCGUGAGAGUAGCUGAAGGUACUAUACGAAUAAGCACCGGCUAACUCCGUGCCAGCAGCCGCGGUAAUACGGAGGGUGCAAGCGUUAUCCGGAUUUAUUGGGUUUAAAGGGUCCGUAGGCUGAUUUGUAAGUCAGUGGUGAAAUCUCACAGCUUAACUGUGAAACUGCCAUUGAUACUGCAAGUCUUGAGUGUUGUUGAAGUAGCUGGAAUAAAUAGUGU